UAAUAAGCGGAGGAAAAGAAACUAACAAGGAUUCCCUUAGUAACGGCGAGCGAAAAGGGAAAAGCCCAGCGCUGAAUCUUACAUCCAACGGGUGUAAUGAAAUGUAGCGUUUGGGACGUAACUUUGCUCAUACUUUUUGUUUAUCCAAGUCCCUCUUGAACGGGGCCAUAGCCCAUGGAGGGUGCUAGGCCCGUACGAUAAUUAAUAUUGUAUGAUGCGUUACGUCCGUAGAGUCGGGUUGCUUGGGAGUGCAGCCCAAAUCAGGUGGUAAACUCCAUCUAAGGCUAAAUAUAACCACGAGACCGAUAGCGAACAAGUACCGUGAGGGAAAGUUGAAAAGAACUUUGAAGAGAGAGUUCAAUAGUACGUGAAACCUCUCGGGGGUAAGCGGGCAGAACUUGCAAGUAUUGGUAGAAGAUUCAGACUUGUUGUGAAUAAUUGUAUAUUACUGUUAAGUUGACUAUUCGUAGUUUAACUAAUUUUGAUAUAUUAAUUUAUUUAUAAUGCGUCGCAUUUCUUCUAUUCAUUCGGAUUGCAUACAAUUGAUUUGGUAAUUUAGGUAUUUAUUACUGUAUGUGGAAUUUAUUCCAUAUAAGUUUAAAUUUUCCAAUUACUAUUGCGAUUGUUAUAAUAAUAAAAUAAGCACAGGUUGCGGUCAAGUUUUUUUACGAGUUGUGUACUUUAUAUGUAUGGACAAGCAAUUGUAAUACGUGUACUGUACUAACUGUCAGUGAGAAUUCUAUGGCAUUAUUUUAUAUUGCAGUCUAAUGCAUGCGUGGUCUGCCUGUCCCGUCUUGAAACACGGACCAAGGAGUCUAACAUGUAUGCGAGUCAUUGAGAAUUAUUAAACUCAAAGGCAUAAUGAAAGUAAAGAUCCAAUUAUAUGGAUAUGAGGAGAGAUCAUGCAGAAUUUUAAUAGAUUGAAAAAUUUAUUGAAUAAAGUAUGCGCAUCUCCGGGACGUUUUAACCUCUGAAGGUAGGGCGUACCUAGAGCAUACACGUUGGGACCCGAAAGAUGGUGAACUAUGCCUGGUCAGAACGAAGUCAGGGGAAACCCUGAUGGAGGUUCGUAGCGAUUCUGACGUGCAAAUCGAUCGUCGGAACUGGGUAUAGGGGCGAAAGACUAAUCGAACCAUCUAGUAGCUGGUUCCCUCUGAAGUUUCCCUUAGGAUAGCUGGCGCUUAUGUUAAACAGUCUCAUCCGGUAAAGCGAAUGAUUAGAGGCCUUGGGGCCGAAACGACCUCAACCUAUUCUCAAACUUUAAAUGGGUGAGAGGUUGAACUUGCUUGAUUGAAGUUUAACAAUGGAUGGUGAGUGCCAAGUGGGCCACUCUUGGUAAGCAGGACUGGCGCUGUGGGAUGAACCAAACGUUGAGUUAAGGCGCCCGAAUCGACGCUCAUGAGAUCCCAUAAAAGGCGUUGGUUGCUUAAGACAGCAGGACGGUGGCCAUGGAAGUCGGAAUCCGCUAAGGAGUGUGUAACAACUCACCUGCCGAAGCAACUAGCCCUGAAAAUGGAUGGCGCUGAAGCGUCGUGCCCAUACUCAACCGUUAAAUCAUAGAGGUAUAAUUUAUUAUAUCCGCGAGGAUUUAACGAGUAAGAGGGUCGUGGUGAUGUGCGUAGAAGGGUCUGGGCGUGGGCCUACCUGGAGCCGUCAUCAGUGCAGAUCUUGGUGGUAGUAGCAAAUACUUUGGAGAGGCCCCGAAGGACCGAUGUGGAGAAGGGUUUCGUGUGAACAGCCGUUGUACACGAGUGAGUCGAUCCUAAACCCGACGAGAAGUCGGUAUCACUGUAUGAGUAUUAUUAGUAAAAAAUCGUAAUCUCUACAUUGAUAAGGUGAAAGGGAAUCUGGUUUCAAUUCCAGAACCUAGUGUCGGAACCGCUCUUUUCAAUAUAUUCCUUGUGUUUAUAUUGUCGAGGUAACUCAAAAAGACCCGGAGAAGCCAUUAGAACCCAUAGGAAGAGUUUUCUUUUCUGCUUGAGUUGUUAAGCGCCCUGGAAUUCCUUCACGGAGAGAUAGGGUCAAGACGACGAAGAGCAUCGCAGUUACUGUGAUGUCUGUGGUGUUUUAAUGGACCUUGAAAAUCUGGGAGAGGGAAACGGGAGCGUCGCACUAGUUCGUACCCAUAUCCGCAGCAGGUCUCCGAGGUGAGCAGCCUCUGGUCGAUAGAACAAUGUAGGUAAGGGAAGUCGGCAAAUCGGAUCCGUAACUUCGGGACAAGGAUUGGCUCUGAGGAUUGGGGCAGUCGGGCCAAGUUAGGAAAUGGUGUGUGCCAAUGUAACGGGCCUGUGUUUAAAAUUUAUGGCAACAUUGAUUUGAAUACGGUCUCACCUGAGGCCUACUAUGGAAUGACUUGGCUAGGAGAGCCUUGUAAUAUUUUGUAAAUUGUAUUAUUUGGAUUAAACUUUCUUCGGCUUCCAUUUAACAAUCAACUCAGAACUGGCACGGACCGGGGGAAUCCGACUGUCUAAUUAAAACAAAGCAUCGUGAUGGCUCUUGC
rnacentral:rRNA from 1 species